CCUACGGGAGGCAGCAGUGGGGAAUUUUGGACAAUGGGCGAAAGCCUGAUCCAGCAAUGCCGCGUGCAGGAUGAAGGGCUUCGGGUUGUAAACUGCUUUUGUACGGAACGAAAAAGCUUCUCCUAAUACGAGAGGCCCAUGACGGUACCGUAAGAAUAAGCACCGGCUAACUACGUGCCAGCAGCCGCGGUAAU
rnacentral:rRNA from 1 species